GCCUGGGUGGCUCAGUUGGUUGAGCAUCCGACUUCAGCUCAGGUCGUGAUCUCGCGGUCCGUGAGUUCGAGCCCCACGUUAGGCU
rnacentral:tRNA from 1 species